rnacentral:rRNA from 1 species
GAUGAACGCUGGCGGCGUGCCUAAUACAUGCAAGUCGAGCGAACGGACGAGAAGCUUGCUUCUCUGAUGUUAGCGGCGGACGGGUGAGUAACACGUGGAUAACCUACCUAUAAGACUGGGAUAACUUCGGGAAACCGGAGCUAAUACCGGAUAAUAUUUUGAACCGCAUGGUUCAAAAGUAAAAGACGGUCUUGCUGUCACUUAUAGAUGGAUCCGCGCUGCAUUAGCUAGUUGGUAAGGUAACGGCUUACCAAGGCAACGAUGCAUAGCCGACCUGAGAGGGUGAUCGGCCACACUGGAACUGAGACACGGUCCAGACUCCUACGGGAGGCAGCAGUAGGGAAUCUUCCGCAAUGGGCGAAAGCCUGACGGAGCAACGCCGCGUGAGUGAUGAAGGUCUUCGGAUCGUAAAACUCUGUUAUUAGGGAAGAACAUAUGUGUAAGUAACUGUGCACAUCUUGACGGUACCUAAUCAGUAAGCCACGGCUAACUACGUG